rnacentral:rRNA from 1 species
AGCGUACACGGUGGAUGCCCUGGCAGUCAGAGGCGAUGAAGGACGUGCUAAUCUGCGAUAAGCGUCGGUAAGGUGAUAUGAACCGUUAUAACCGGCGAUUUCCGAAUGGGGAAACCCAGUGUGUUUCGACACACUAUCAUUAACUGAAUCCAUAGGUUAAUGAGGCGAACCGGGGGAACUGAAACAUCUAAGUACCCCGAGGAAAAGAAAUCAACCGAGAUUCCCCCAGUAGCGGCGAGCGAACGGGGAGGAGCCCAGAGCCUGAAUCAGUGUGUGUGUUAGUGGAAGCGUCUGGAAAGGCGCGCGAUACAGGGUGACAGCCCCGUACACAAAAAUGCACAUGCUGUGAGCUCGAUGAGUAGGGCGGGACACGUGGUAUCCUGUCUGAAUAUGGGGGGACCAUCCUCCAAGGCUAAAUACUCCUGACUGACCGAUAGUGAACCAGUACCGUGAGGGAAAGGCGAAAAGAACCCCGGCGAGGGGAGUGAAAAAGAACCUGAAACCGUGUACGUACAAGCAGUGGGAGCACAGAGCAAUCUGUGUGACUGCGUACCUUUUGUAUAAUGGGUCAGCGACUUAUAUUCUGUAGCAAGGUUAACCGAAUAGGGGAGCCGAAGGGAAACCGAGUCUUAACUGGGCGUUAAGUUGCAGGGUAUAGACCCGAAACCCGGUGAUCUAGCCAUGGGCAGGUUGAAGGUUGGGUAACACUAACUGGAGGACCGAACCGACUAAUGUUGAAAAAUUAGCGGAUGACUUGUGGCUGGGGGUGAAAGGCCAAUCAAACCGGGAGAUAGCUGGUUCUCCCCGAAAGCUAUUUAGGUAGCGCCUCGUGAAUUCAUCUCCGGGGGUAGAGCACUGUUUCGGCAAGGGGGUCAUCCCGACUUACCAACCCGAUGCAAACUGCGAAUACCGGAGAAUGUUAUCACGGGAGACACACGGCGGGUGCUAACGUCCGUCGUGAAGAGGGAAACAACCCAGACCGCCAGCUAAGGUCCCAAAGUCAUGGUUAAGUGGGAAACGAUGUGGGAAGGCCCAGACAGCCAGGAUGUUGGCUUAGAAGCAGCCAUCAUUUAAAGAAAGCGUAAUAGCUCACUGGUCGAGUCGGCCUGCGCGGAAGAUGUAACGGGGCUAAACCAUGCACCGAAGCUGCGGCAGCGACGCUGAUGCGUUGUUGGGUAGGGGAGCGUUCUGUAAGCCUGUGAAGGUGUGCUGUGAGGCAUGCUGGAGGUAUCAGAAGUGCGAAUGCUGACAUAAGUAACGAUAAAGCGGGUGAAAAGCCCGCUCGCCGGAAGACCAAGGGUUCCUGUCCAACGUUAAUCGGGGCAGGGUGAGUCGACCCCUAAGGCGAGGCCGAAAGGCGUAGUCGAUGGGAAACAGGUUAAUAUUCCUGUACUUGGUGUUACUGCGAAGGGGGGACGGAGAAGGCUAUGUUGGCCGGGCGACGGUUGUCCCGGUUUAAGCGUGUAGGCUGGUUUUCCAGGCAAAUCCGGAAAACUAAGGCUGAGGCGUGAUGACGAGGCACUACGGUGCUGAAGCAACAAAUGCCCUGCUUCCAGGAAAAGCCUCUAAGCAUCAGGUAACAUCAAAUCGUACCCCAAACCGACACAGGUGGUCAGGUAGAGAAUACCAAGGCGCUUGAGAGAACUCGGGUGAAGGAACUAGGCAAAAUGGUGCCGUAACUUCGGGAGAAGGCACGCUGAUAUGUAGGUGAAGUCCCUCGCGGAUGGAGCUGAAAUCAGUCGAAGAUACCAGCUGGCUGCAACUGUUUAUUAAAAACACAGCACUGUGCAAACACGAAAGUGGACGUAUACGGUGUGACGCCUGCCCGGUGCCGGAAGGUUAAUUGAUGGGGUCAGCGCAAGCGAAGCUCUUGAUCGAAGCCCCGGUAAACGGCGGCCGUAACUAUAACGGUCCUAAGGUAGCGAAAUUCCUUGUCGGGUAAGUUCCGACCUGCACGAAUGGCGUAAUGAUGGCCAGGCUGUCUCCACCCGAGACUCAGUGAAAUUGAACUCGCUGUGAAGAUGCAGUGUACCCGCGGCAAGACGGAAAGACCCCGUGAACCUUUACUAUAGCUUGACACUGAACAUUGAGCCUUGAUGUGUAGGAUAGGUGGGAGGCUUUGAAGUGUGGACGCCAGUCUGCAUGGAGCCGACCUUGAAAUACCACCCUUUAAUGUUUGAUGUUCUAACGUUGACCCGUAAUCCGGGUUGCGGACAGUGUCUGGUGGGUAGUUUGACUGGGGCGGUCUCCUCCUAAAGAGUAACGGAGGAGCACGAAGGUUGGCUAAUCCUGGUCGGACAUCAGGAGGUUAGUGCAAUGGCAUAAGCCAGCUUGACUGCGAGCGUGACGGCGCGAGCAGGUGCGAAAGCAGGUCAUAGUGAUCCGGUGGUUCUGAAUGGAAGGGCCAUCGCUCAACGGAUAAAAGGUACUCCGGGGAUAACAGGCUGAUACCGCCCAAGAGUUCAUAUCGACGGCGGUGUUUGGCACCUCGAUGUCGGCUCAUCACAUCCUGGGGCUGAAGUAGGUCCCAAGGGUAUGGCUGUUCGCCAUUUAAAGUGGUACGCGAGCUGGGUUUAGAACGUCGUGAGACAGUUCGGUCCCUAUCUGCCGUGGGCGCUGGAGAACUGAGGGGGGCUGCUCCUAGUACGAGAGGACCGGAGUGGACGCAUCACUGGUGUUCGGGUUGUCAUGCCAAUGGCACUGCCCGGUAGCUAAAUGCGGAAGAGAUAAGUGCUGAAAGCAUCUAAGCACGAAACUUGCCCCGAGAUGAGUUCUCCCUGACUCCUUGA